CGCAGUUCACCCUCACCUCCCUAACACAACCCAACAAUUAAUGCUUCACACCAGCACCCUCCUCACCAUUGGCUACACAUCCUGCUUGUAUCCCUUCCUACGAUCGUUUUUAACGGACCAAACAGUUGUCAUCACCGAUAGGGACUGGGCCACCAUAGUUGAUUGAGACCAAACAACCGACAUCCACUAGGACUAAACCACCGGUGCCAAUCGGGAUCGAAUUGCCAACUUUCAGCAAGACCAGACUAUUGGGGCCAACCUUGAUCAGAGCGCAGGAAGCAACCUAGACCAGAUCGUCGCCUGUCUAGCACCAACUAGGAUUGAAUUGCUACAUGUGACCAGGUUCAAAUGGCAAACUUCCAUUUGGAUUAUACUAUUGACGACGAUUGAGAUCAAAAGGUCGACUUUCACCAAGACUGAAUUGUUGGCCUCAACCAGGAUAGAACCUCCAAUGCCAACUAGGACUGAAUAGUUGCUUGCUACUAGGAUCAAACAGCUAAAUCCCAUCAUGUCCUAGACCGAUGACUUGGAUCGAGACCAAACUGGUGACCUCAAUCGAGAUUGGACCUCUAGCGUCAACCGAGAUCUGAUCGUCAAAGGUUUGGUCUUAAUAGAGGUCAUCAAUCUUAGUCAUGGUAGGAGCCAGCAGUUAGAUCUCGAUCGCAAGUGGCUAUCUAGUCCCUAUCGGUGCCGGCGAUCUGAUCCUAGAUGGUGCCGGCAAUCUGAUCUCAGUCGUCGCUAGCGGUAUUGUUCUUUUGAAAGUUUGUUGUUUGAUCCUAGUCAACGCUAGCAAUCCACUCUGGGUGAAAGUUGGGUAUUCGAAUUGCUGACGUUGUUUGGGUUGCUUUUAAAGUCUAAAAUAAAAUUUAAAAUUUUACUUAAGAUUCAAAUAAAAGAUUUUAAUAUAAUAAUUUAAAAAUUUUUAUAUCAUCGGAAUGAAAAAUUUAAAAACUAUAAAUUUUAAAUGUGAGAUUUUAAAUCUAAAUUCCUAACUCAAAUUCACCCAUCCAAAUGCAACAUUAAAGUAUCUUACAAAUACAUGAGUGGUUCUAGAGUGUGCGUGUGACGCACAGGAGCUGUUGGGUUGAAGUAGGACGAGUGGGAAGCAGAGUGGAUGAUGUAUACAGCACAGAGGACCUGCGUAUGGUGUCAUCAACUAAGUACCUCCAAACAGUGAAAUGAUUCCAAUCAUCUUGGCUUCGCGCCUGCCUCCCUCACAUUUACACUUUCUACAUACCCAUCAUUUAUUUCCUUUGCAUCCAACCCUGAUGGCAUGCUGAUAUAUAUCAUAUUUCACAUUAGAAUUGGUA